CGGCGGGCCCGCCGUUUCGACGGCCGCCGGGGAGGCCUUGCGCCCCCGGGCCCGCGCCCGCCGAAGACCCCAACAUGAACGCUGUUCUGAAAGUAUGCAGUCUGAGUUGAUUAUCGUAAUCAGUUAAAACUUUCAACAACGGAUCUCUUGGUUCCGGCAUCGAUGAAGAACGCAGCGAAAUGCGAUAAGUAAUGUGAAUUGCAGAAUUCAGUGAAUCAUCGAGUCUUUGAACGCACAUUGCGCCCCUGGUAUUCCGGGGGGCAUGCCUGUCCGAGCGUCAUUGCUGCCCUCAAGCACGGCUUGUGUGUUGGGCCCCCGUCCCCCUCUCCCGGGGGACGGGCCCGAAAGGCAGCGGCGGCACCGCGUCCGGUCCUCGAGCGUAUGGGGCUUUGUCACCUGCUCUGUGGCCCGGCCGGCGCCAGCCGACACCCAACUUUAUUUUUCUAAGGUUGACCUCGGAUCAGGUAGGGAUACCCGCUGAACUUAAGCAUAUCAA
rnacentral:rRNA from 1 species